GUGGAUUAGAUACCCUGGUAGUCCUAGCCGUAAACGAUGAACACUAGGCGUAGUCGGUAUCGACCCCGGCUGUGCCGUAGCUAACGCAUUAAGUGUUCCGCCUGGGGAGUACGGCCGCAAGGCUAAAACUCAAAGGAAUUGACGGGGGCCCGCACAAGCAGCGGAGCGUGUGGUUUAAUUCGUCGCAACGCGAAGAACCUUACCAGGGCUUGACAUGUGGCGGAAAACGGCGGAAACGUCGUCCUCCCGCAAGGGACCGUCAUGCAGGUGUUGCACGGCUGUCGUCAGCU
rnacentral:rRNA from 1 species